rnacentral:rRNA from 2 species
UACAGAGGGUGCGAGCGUUAAUCGGAAUUACUGGGCGUAAAGCGCGCGUAGGUGGCUAUGCAAGUCGGAUGUGAAAUCCCCGGGCUCAACCUGGGAACUGCAUUCGAGACUGCAUUGCUUGAGUAUGGGAGAGGGAAGUGGAAUUUCCGGUGUAGCGGUGAAAUGCGUAGAUAUCGGAAGGAACAUCAGUGGCGAAAGCGACUUCCUGGACCAAUACUGACACUCAAGUGCGAAAGCGUGGGGAGCAAACAGG